GAUGAACGCUAGCGGGAGGCUUAACACAUGCAAGUCGAGGGGCAGCAUGGAGUAGCAAUACUCUGAUGGCGACCGGCAGACGGGUGAGUAACGCGUAUGUAACCUACCCUGUACAGGGGGGAUAACCCGGAGAAAUUCGGACUAAUACCCCAUGGAAAUAUUGAGAGGCAUCUUGAGAUAUUUAAAGUUCCGGCGGUACGGGAUGGGCAUGCGUAACAUUAGCUAGUUGGUAGGGUAAUAGCCUACCAAGGCAACGAUGUUUAGGGGUCCUGAGAGGGUGAUCCCCCA
rnacentral:rRNA from 1 species